GAUGAACGCUGACAGAAUGCUUAACACAUCAGCAAUUGAUUGGUGGCGGACGGGUGAGUAACGCGUAAAGAACUUGCCUCACAGCUAGGGACAACAUACGGAACCGAAUGCUAAUACCUAAUACUGUGAGAGAGCUUUGCGUCCAAUUAGCUAGUUGGAGAGGUAACGGCUCACCAAGGCGAUGAUGGGUAGCCGGCCUGAGAGGGUGAUCGGCCACAAGGGGACGGAGACACGGCCCGUACUCCUACGGGAGGCAGCAGUGGGGAAUAUUGGACAAUGGACCAAAGUCUGAUCCAUCAAUUCUGUGGGCACGAUGAAGUUUUCGGAAGGUAAAGUGCUGUCAGUUGGGAAGCGGUACCAACAGAAGAAGUGACGGCUAAAUACGUGCCAGCAGCCGCGGUAAUUC
rnacentral:rRNA from 1 species